rnacentral:rRNA from 1 species
GGCUGAAAUUCGCCUUCAUGAAGCCGGAAUUGCUAGUAAUGGCAGGUCAGCAUACUGCCGUGAAUACGUUCCCGGGCCCUUGUACACACCGCCCGUCACACCAUGAGAGUUGGGAAUACCCGAAGCCUGUGAGCUAACAUUUAUGAGGCAGCAGUCGAAGGUAGAAUCAAUGAUUGGGGUGAAGUCGUAACAAGGUAAC